rnacentral:rRNA from 1 species
GAUGAACGCUAGCGGCAGGCUUAACACAUGCAAGUCGAGGGGCAGCGCGGGAUAGCAAUAUCCUGGCGGCGACCGGCGGAAGGGUGCGUAACGCGUGAGCGACAUGCCCGUUGCCCGGGGACAACCGGUGGAAACGCCGACUAAUCCCCGAUGGGAUACGAUGCUUCAUGGCAUUGUAUUGAAAGUUACGGCGGCGACGGAUUGGCUCGCGUCCGAUUAGCUGGUUGGCGGGGUAACGGCCCACCAAGGCUGCGAUCGGUAGGGGUUCUGAGAGGAAGGCCCCCCACAAUGGGACUGAGACACGGCCCAUACUCCUACGGGAGGCAGCAGUGAGGAAUAUUGGUCAAUGGGCGGAAGCCUGAACCAGCCAUGCCGCGUGCGGGAAGGAGGCCCUAUGGGCUGUGAACCGCUUUUGCCUGGGGGCAAUAAGGGAGUCGCGCACGUCAGAUGAGAGUACCAGGCGAAUAAGCAUCGGCUAACUCCGUG